rnacentral:rRNA from 1 species
GGGCACUGCUAUCGGAUUGCGACUAAGCCAUGCAAGUCUAAGGUGGCGUGUGACGCCACCUGGCGUACGGCUCAGUAACACGUAGUCAACCUACCUUGAAGACGGGUACAACCUUGGGAAACUAAGGCUAAACCCCGAUAGGUCAUUAAAUCUGGAAUGAUUAAUGACCCAAAAAACCCUGCGGAUUGCAGUAGGAGUUGCUUCAAGAUGGGACUGCGGCUGAUUAGGCUGUUGGUGAGGUAACGGCUCACCAAACCAUUGAUCAGUAGGGGCUAUGGGAGUAGGAGCCCCGAGACGGGCACUGAGACAAGGGCCCGAGCCCUACGGGGUGCAGCAGGCGCGAAAAUUCCGCAAUGCGCGAAAGCGUGACGGGGGUAAUCCGAGUGCCAACCGAAAGGUUGGCUUUUCAUAAGUCUGAAUCACUUGUGGAAUAAGUGGUGGGUAAAUCCUGUGCCAGCCGCCGCGGUAAUACAGGUAGCACUAGUGGUGUCCGUGAAUAUUGCGUUUAAAGCGUUCGUAGCCGGCUAAGCAAGUUUUCUGUGAAAUCUUUCGGCUCAACCGAAUAGGCUUGCAGAAAAUACUACUUGGCUCGAGAGUGGGGGAAGCUAAAGGUACUGUAGGGGGAGCGGUAAAAUGCUGUAAUCCUUGCAGGACCACCAGUGGCGAAGGCGUUUAGCUAAAACACGUCUGACGGUGAGGGACGAAGGCUAGGGGAGCAAACGGGAUUAGAUACCCCGGUAGUCCUAGCAGUAAAUUAUGCAGACUUGGCGUUGCAGUUACUUCGAGUGGCUGCAGUGCCGUAGAGAAAUCGUUUAGUCUGCCACGUGGGGAGUACGGUCGCAAGAUUGAAACUUAAAGGAAUUGGCGGGGGAGCACCACAAGGGGUGGAUGCUGCGGUUCAAUUGGACUCAACGCCGGGAAACUCACCAGGAAAGACGGCAGGAUGAAGCUCAGACUAAAGAUCUUAGCUAACAAGCCGAGAAGUGUUGCAUGGCCAGCGUCAGUUCGUGCCGUGAGGUGUCAGGUUAAGUCCUGCAACGAACGAGAUCCCUGUCUACAGUUGCUAACUUGGAAGUGAUUCCAGGUGCACUCUGUGGAGACUGCUUGCGUUAAGCGAGAGGAAGGAAGGGCCGACGCUAGGUCUGUAUGGCCUGAAUUUCCUGGGCCACACGUGGCAUACAAUGGCUAGGACAAUGCGUUCCGACGCCGAAAGGCGAAGGCAAUCGCCUAAACCUAGUCCCAGUUCAGAUUGGGGGCUGGAACUCGUCCCCAUGAAGUUGGAAUCCCUAGUAAUCGCGUGUCAUCAUCGCGCGGUGAAUAUGUCCCCGCUCCUUGCACACACCGCCCGUCAAGCCAUCCAAGCGAGGUUUUAGUGAGGCGCAUUCUCUUGAAUGUGUCGAG